rnacentral:lncRNA from 1 species
AUUGUUUUGCCGGGGCAGAUAUCAGGCACAUCUGCAGGCAGCAGACUGUAGGCAAGGGCACAUGGCAGUGUAGCGACAUGGCCGGUGGCUUGCUGCUGUUGCGAGUGGGCUACCUAGAAGAUGAACAUGAAGAAUAUGGUGCCAGCAAUGGCAAAGGGGAAGGCAGGGAGUGGUAAAGUGAAAGGUUAGUUUGAGGCUCCUUUUGAAUUUCUAUAUUUGUGUACAUUAGCAGAGGAAAACGAUAGUGUGCCACUCUGAAACGAUAGUGUGAUAUUAGUGGUCUUUUCAUGCCGUAAAUUGCAGAUUUGACAAGACACUUCGGCUUAAUUUUUUUAUUGUUAUCUUAGUACUAUUUUCAUGCUGUAAAUUUCAGAUUUGACAAGGCACUUUGGCUUAAUAUUUUUUAUGGUUGUAUUUCAGAGAAAUAUUGAGGUGUGAAGUUAGUAUACGAGAUAUAGAUGCUCCACAACAUGUGUAUUGUUGCGUAACUCUUGGCUCUCUACGUCAGCCUUCAAUCAC